AAAAAUAACACUCAUAAAUUGAUUGUGCAUGAAAAUACAGAAAAUUUUUCUAAUGCUAUAGUAAAAACAAAAAUUUCAGAACACAAGAAGCUAACAAUUAAGAUUACCUCCUCUGUGAGAUGGAAGAUAAAGGGCAUUCCUCAGCUGCUUUAAAGACAUAGUCGAUGUAUUAUUUGAAAACCUGCAGCAACAAGAUCAAGAAUACGUGCAUUGCCCAACUUUUGCCCGUUUAAUCCUAACUAACCAGCAGCAAAAGCUAUUCUAAAUCAGAUAGUAUAAGAACUCAAAGAUGGUCAGUCUCCUCUUUGAUGCAUAAACUACAGGUGACAGGACAACCUGCUUUAAAGACCAUAUACAAAACUCUAUAUUAAUGAGUUGAAGUAGGUGCACCAGUACUUUCCAAUCCCAUCUUCUGCCCCAAAAGUGUUAGCUGCUCAACAAACUCCACUCCAGUGAGAAUUUCUGUUGUUCCAUAUAUAAUAUGCUUGACAGGCUGCUGGCGCUGUGCAAGCUCUAGCAAGCUGCCGUACUCCACGUAAUUACCACCACCAAUCAUGAAAACCAU
rnacentral:misc_RNA from 1 species